rnacentral:rRNA from 1 species
ACGGAGGGUGCAAGCGUUAAUCGGAAUUACUGGGCGUAAAGCGCGCGUAGGCCGCUUUGUAAGUCAGAGGUGAAAUCCCAGCGCCUAACGUUGGAGUAGCCUUUGAUACUGCAGAGCUUGAGUCCGUGAGAGGGUGGCGGAAUUCCUGGUGUAGGGGUGACAUCCGUAGAGAUCAGGAGGAACACCGGUGGCGAAGGCGGCCACCUGGCACGGUACUGACGCUGAGGUGCGAAAGCGUGGGGAGCAAACAG